rnacentral:lncRNA from 1 species
AGAGAUUUUAUAUAAAGCCCUGCAUCAUAUUCAAAUUUCUUUUCCAUGCAGACUGUCGUCGUUAGCACUCGUAAGUACUCGCGUAGUCGUAAUUUUAAGUUAGUGUAUUCUUGAAGUUGUUCGUUCCUUAAAGUAUUUUUAUGUUUUUUUACUCCUGUUACGUCUUCUGUGGCUAGAUUUGUGUAUGAACGUCUUAAUUACAUUAGCAACAGUAGUUUAUAAUUAACCACAUGAAUUUUGGUUAUUAAUGCCUUUCCUGCCUGUAAUCUUUUUGCAAAUAUAACUUUUAAAAUUAUGUAAGCGGCCAUGGCGUGUGGGGUAGGCAAGGUCGUUGUUAGUAAGGUUUAAGUAGCCAGUCCAUUUUCAAUUCCCAACAAGUUUAGAUUGAAUCAUUUAUAUCGACCAAUUUCUACUUUGUGACUUAUAUUAUCAUUGAAAGUUCUUUUCUUUAUAUCCCAUUUGAUGAUUUUUAAAACUUUUGAAAGGCAGCAUGCCAGAAAGAACAUGGUUGGCAAUUUGACAAAGCUUGUUUCCUGUCCAGGUAAUGUUAAUGCACCCUGUUUUAUGGUGAGUUUGAUAAUGAAUCAGAUUUUCUAGAUGUGAUUGGUUUUUUUUAAAUCUAGGGUUAGUGCAAAAGUAGUCCAUCAAUCAUAAGUGCCAUGUAGGAUGACUGUAGAUAACUUGGUUGAAGUGUGGAUGAGUGCAUGGUGCUGGGUUAAUCCUGAAUGUGUGCAUGUAUUUGUAUGUGCUACAUGACCUGCUAUUCAUUGUUCUGGUCUGAGUUAAAAAAUUUUGUUAUUCUCCCAUUUAAUAAUUUCAGUGACUUUUGAUAUAUUGUUAUCUGAAGAUAACUUGGUAGGUAUUUGUACAGAGCACAUGGUGCUGGCUUGUCUACCUGACCAUGAUUUAUUCCAAUGGGUUGAUUUAUGAUGGGUGAGUUAAAGAAUUGGGUACAGGUAUAGUACACAUAAUGAAAAUCAUUUCUUGUUAAACAUGAAUUUUUCUUUAGAUGUCAAAUUACUGACAAAUAUCUGAAGUUGGUUAAUUUAAUUUCUCUUCAAUGUGAGUUUAAUCCAGUGUUAUAAUUCUCUAUAUGCUGGUUGAAUGCAUCAUGAAGAACAAGAAUAAUAUUGGUACUGUUUCAACGAUGUUUUUAAAUGUUGAAAUCAGUUGCUGUUUGCUGACGUUUCCGAUUGCUAGAUCUGGAGUCGUGAUUGACAAGCUGUCUUUUUGAGACCAAUAUUGUCCAUUGGUGGAAUUCUAUAUUUGCUUAUUGAAUGUGGGCCAUUUUGGUUGGUCAAAAUUCAACCGAUGCUACUGUUCGUUUUUGUUCUCUGUUGCCAAUGUACGAUAUGAUCCAUAAUUUGUUUUAAAUUAUUCUCGGUUUGAAAAACUAGGAUGUUUGUGUUGGUGUUGCAUCAUAUAGAACUCAGGAAGGAAACAGGUGGUGGCAAGUAAAAUAAUGGACAAGGUAAAAGUUGCAACAUAUUGGGAGGAUAUUGUGAUGGAAGUUGGAAAUUAAAAGUAUGGUUAAUAAUUAAAAUUACGUCCGAAGAUUUCUUUAAUUUUCUGCGUGUAUAAUUUCCUAAACUUCUAAAGGCAGGAUAAUUAUGUAAGUUGGUUUUGACAAGGCCCAUGGUGCUGGUUUCUCCUGAUUUUGUUUCACACUGUGGUGGUAAGUUGUAUGAGCUGAAAUUUUUAAGAUAUUGAAAGGAUUAUUUCUUGAUUUAAUCCUUGUACUGUGGAUGGAUUUGCUAUAUGACAAGAUGUUUAUUGUUCCUGCUGCUUGGUGCUCUUUGAAUGUGAAUUGUUUGACAUUGAGGUGGUAAGAUACUUAAUCUAUGUGAAUUGAAAGUAUUGGGUUGGAGUUGGUAAGUUGCUGAUUUCCUUAUUAUGGUCUUUCAUCUGUAGGUACUGCUUUGCAUCGUUCUCUCGUGUGGACAUGGUACAAAUGUGAGGAAACGGCAAUAUUCGUGCUGGGAUAGAAUAGUCAAUAUCAAGUUUGUUAAUUUUAAUAACUUUUGAUAGGGAGGACAACUACAUGACUUGGUUGGUAUAUGGACAGAACAUGAUGUUGGAUUGUCCUCCUGGCAGUUUUGUAUCCAGUGGUGGUCUUGCUUUAUUUGUGAGUUUGUUGAUGGUUACCUGAUGAUGAUAAGUAUGAAAAUAAGUUACUGGAAAUCAUUUUAAGGUUUUUACAGGUAUGGUUAUUUGUGGAGUUUGCUAUGCCUCGGUGUUACUGUUUUGAUGAUUUAAGUACCCACGAAGCAACCGAUUGAUUUUACAUAGUAAACUUGUAAUCGAUUUUUUUGUGUUGAAAGAUGUUCUGUUGUGGUUUAUCAUUGAUCUGUUAGUAUACUUUAAAGCGACUGUUUUGUUCUGCAUCCGCACUAGCCGAAGAUAUCGAUGGACUGAAAGGGGCGUGACAGAUGACAUACCAAUUGAAGUUGAAAAUUCGCAUGGAGACAUAAUUUGUUUUCCUAAAGUAAAUUCAUCAGUGUAUAUGUUAUUUUCUGUGGCCCUGUUUAUGCUUAACUUGUGAUAAGUCCAUGCGGUGGUAGGCUAUUCUAUGGUAAUCCAUUUUCAAUGUUAUGAGGUGGAUAAGGGGUUAUUCACAUAGGCACUUAUUUGUUCGAAAUUGUCUUGUUACUUUUUCGUCUUUUAUUUGCUACAUAACGGGUACUUCUGGUGAGAUAACUGAUAUAGUUUCGCCUACAUUAUCGGAUUAUAACUAUUUUUAUAAUUGUAAAUUGAAUUGAUAAUAAAAGCGUUUCAAAUUAAA